UUUAGGUCAUACGUUUGAGCAUCGUUCCUGUGUGAUACACGUGGAGACGCCACGCCGUAUAAAGCGGAGACACUUCACAGCACAAGUAACAGAAGAUACCGUGGGUCAUACGUUUGAGCAUCGUUCCUGUGUGAUACAUGUGGAGACGCCACGCCCUGGAAAGCGGAGACACUUCACAGCACAAGUAGCAGAAGAUUCCGUGGAUACCGGAGAAUAAAUCAAUUAUCGUUCACCCAUCGUUCAGCGUGUUCGCUUGAAGGGCAGGUGUAAAAGUGUGAGACGUUUGCUGAACUCAGAGGGUGUCAUAAU